AAGUCGUAACAAGGUUUCCGUAGGUGAACCUGCGGAAGGAUCAUUACCUUUCUGGCUAUUUAAUAGCUUGUCGGGGGGCUAUAGUCUCUAUAGCCUCUGACUGAAUUCCGUGUUUUUAUCGUACUACAUGUUUCCUCGGCGGGCUUGCUCGCCGUGGCGACCAUCAAUACUCUUUGCAAUUGCAAUCAGCGUCUGAAUUAUUUAAUAAUUACAA
rnacentral:misc_RNA from 1 species